rnacentral:lncRNA from 1 species
CCUCCCAACCAUCGCGACGAGAGCAAUAAUAGCAGCUCCAAUGGUGGCCGAGGCCAUGGGCGUCUGAGCCGCGCGCCGAGGCCUGCGGGCGCCAUUGAUGAGAGCAGCUGCAUCACCCUUCACGGCCGGACGCGAUGUCCCUUGUGGCUGCGGCGGCCGCCGUGAGGCCCUCGCCAGUGGCUCCUUCCCCGGCGGUGCCGUACGGGAUGUGCGGUGGCGGCGCGAGGAAGAGGAAGGACGUCGUGCACUACCAUGAGGAGGACGAGGACGAGGAGGAGGUGCAGCAGGGGAGGCGGCUUGGCGGUGUCGGUGAGGGCCACGGGCUGUUCGUGCUGGAGACGGUGGAGGAAGAGGAGGAAAGGGAGGCCGAAAACGAGCGCUCCUCCAUUGGCCCCGUCUCCGAGGGGGACGAGGAGGAAGGGGAGGAGGCGGAGAGCGCCAGGGAGACGCCGCCGUGGCAGCGGAGGACGAAGAAGAGCGCCGGCGGGCUCGCGAGCCUCGACGCCCUCGACGACGCCCUCCCCGUCAAGUAAUCAACCAACUUCACUUCCCUUAAUCAUCCACCAUUUCUUGCAAUAAUCGCAAGAAGGGCGGAUUGUCUUCUCGGUUCGGCCGGUGGAUUGAUCCGCGGAGCCGUCCUGAUUUGGCAGGCGGGGCCUGUCGAGCUUCUUCUCCGGCAAGUCGCGGUCGUUCGCGAACCUGCAGGACGUGGCGGUCGCCGGCACCACCAGCAGCAAGGACGUGCUGGCCAAGCCGGAGAACCCCUUCAACAAGCGCCGCCGGAUCCUGCGCUGCUGCUCCAUCCGGCGGGUCUCCUCCACCUCGCUCACCGCGCUGCCGCCCUUCCAGCCGCCCGAGCCGUCCUUCAACAUCGGCAACGACGGCGUCAUCAACGGCGGCGGCGGCUGAUCAUCAACCGAUCCCGGAACGCGUACGUACGUACGUACCUACGUGCACCGAUGAGAUCAGAUUGAUCGACCGAUCGAAAAGAGAAAAACACAUGCAUAUUUAUGCAUGCAAGUUGCAAAGGGAAUUAGUAAUGGAAACUACUCUACUAGGGAGGAGAGAGACAAGAUGGAUGGAUGGAUGGAUGGAUGGAUCCCACUUUGUAAUAGUCCGGGAUCUCGCUCAUCUCGGCUCACAUCAACAACAAUGGCCGCCUAGAGCUUAGGUUUUUCUUAAUUCUUUUACUAGAUGCUAGUAGUUGCAUUUGACAUGCAAAAAGAGGGAGAGAGAGCACCAAACAUGGUGCAUGUGUCGUCGAUCCUAGCCUACAAAACAAGCUAUAUAUGCCAGUUGAAAUAUACAAAUAUCUCAAUUGAGACAAGCUAGCCUGAUUAACCUUUUCAAUGCUAGUAUAUAUAGCGCCAAGGUAUACAU